GCCCAGGUGGUGAAAUUGGUAGACACGCCAGCUUCAGGUGCUGGUGAUCGCAAGGUCGUGGAAGUUCGAGUCUUCUCCGGGGCACCA
rnacentral:tRNA from 1 species